GAUGAACGCUGGCGGCGUGCCUAAUACAUGCAAGUCGAGCGAACAGACGAGGAGCUUGCUCCUCUGACGUUAGCGGCGGACGGGUGAGUAACACGUGGAUAACCUACCUAUAAGACUGGGAUAACUUCGGGAAACCGGAGCUAAUACCGGAUAAUAUAUUGAACCGCAUGGUUCAAUAGUGAAAGACGGUUUUGCUGUCACUUAUAGAUGGAUCCGCGCCGCAUUAGCUAGUUGGUAAGGUAACGGCUUACCAAGGCAACGAUGCGUAGCCGACCUGAGAGGGUGGUCGCCCACACGGGAACUGAGACACGGUCCAGACGCCUACGGGAGGCAGCAGUAGGGAAUCUUCCGCAAUGGGCGAAAGCUUGACGGAGCAACGCCGCGUGAGUGAUGAAGGUCUUCGGAUCGUAAAACUCUGUUAUUAGGGAAGAACAAAUGUGUAAGUAACUAUGCACGUCUUGACGGUACCUAAUCAGAAAGCCACGGCUAACUACGUG
rnacentral:rRNA from 1 species